rnacentral:rRNA from 1 species
CCUACGGGGAGCAGCAGUGAGGAAUAUUGGUCAAUGGACGAGAGUCUGAACCAGCCAAGUAGCGUGAAGGAUGACUGCCCUAUGGGUUGUAAACUUCUUUUAUAUGGGAAUAAAAUGUUCCACGUGUGGGAUUUUGUAUGUACCAUAUGAAUAAGGAUCGGCUAACUCCGUGCCAGCAGCCGCGGUAAUACGGAGGAUCCGAGCGUUAUCCGGAUUUAUUGGGUUUAAAGGGAGCGUAGGUGGAUUGUUAAGUCAGUUGUGAAAGUUUGCGGCUCAACCGUAAAAUUGCAGUUGAAACUGGCAGUCUUGAGUACAGUAGAGGUGGGCGGAAUUCGUGGUGUAGCGGUGAAAUGCUUAGAUAUCACGAAGAACUCCGAUUGCGAAGGCAGUUCACUGGACUGCAACUGACACUGAGGCUCGAAAGUGUGGGUAUCAAACAGGAUUAGAUACCCAGUAGUC